rnacentral:rRNA from 1 species
AUUGAACGCUGGCGGCAGGCCUAACACAUGCAAGUCGAGCGGUAGCACAGAGAGCUUGCUCUCGGGUGACGAGCGGCGGACGGGUGAGUAAUGUCUGGGAAACUGCCUGAUGGAGGGGGAUAACUACUGGAAACGGUAGCUAAUACCGCAUAAUGUCGCAAGACCAAAGUGGGGGACCUUCGGGCCUCAUGCCAUCAGAUGUGCCCAGAUGGGAUUAGCGAGUAGGUGGGGUAACGGCCCACCUAGGCGACGAUCCCUAGGUGGCCUGAGAGGAUGACCAGCCACACUGGAACUGAGACACGGUCCAGACUCCUACGGGAGGCAGCAGUGGGGAAUAUUGCACAAUGGGCGCAAGCCUGAUGCAGCCAUGCCGCGUGUGUAAAGAAGGCCUUCGGGUUGUAAAGCACUUUCAGCGGGGAGGAAGGCGAUAAGGUUAAUAACCUUGUCGAUUGACGUUACCCGCAGAAGAAGCACCGGCUAACUCCGUGCCAGCCGCCGCGGUAA